CUGACUGCAAGGAUGAAGUCUCAAAGCCUCUUCCUGCUGGCCAUGCUCAUAUCUCUGGUCUCAGUCAGAGCCAAAGCUAUAUGGAAGGAAGUUGAAUGGUACACUCCUGUAGUUUGGUACGGUCCUGUAGGUGGCUGGCAUGGAGUUGGUUGGUACCCUCCUGUAGGUGGCUGGUUUAAUUUUGGAGGUUUCAGAUUUUAUUGAGGGAACGAGCCCCAGCACACGCUGCCUUUCCAGCGAAGACUCUUGCAGAUUGCCGUGGUCUGACUUUGAUGACCAUAAUCAUAGUUAAUGCUUCCGGGGUCUUUGGGAAUUCACUUCAACUUCAGAAAGAAUCAAAGCUUCUGUAUUUACAACCGAUUCCAGCCUUCCAAUCCAAAGUAAUUGAUCCAUAUUGGCACUGCUGAUUAUUGAUGCAAAGAGUCAAUUAACAUCCCAAAUCCAUCCACCAUCUCAACCAUAGACUUUCUUGUCCAAUUAAAACUGGAAGACAGGCAAUGCUGGGAGCUGUGAAACUCAGCACUCUAGACUGGUUGAUUAAUUUUUUGGGGGAUCAAUUAGACCGAUUGAGAUAAGACUGUCUUUAAGAGUGACGUGGUCUACGAAUUCACACAAUUAUAAAAUUAAAUUCCCUCCCUUCAAAAUCAGUAACACUCUUGCAGGCCACUUCGAUACUAGCCAGGAAACUGGCUCCACUGAUUCUGGAAGUGGAAGGUGGGAGGAGCACAGGAUAACAACAUUACUUGUCGUUAAGAUGAACUUGAAAAGAGCAACAUAAUUUCAUGAUGAGAGAAAAACAACAAUAUCCACCGUGAUCUUAUCUGAUGGAUUUAAGCAUCCCAAACCCAUUGGAAUUGGAAGAUAUCUUUAUUGCAAUUUGGAGCCUAAUUGCUCCAGUUUUAGGGGAGUGUUGUCUGCAAUGUUGCCAUAAACACUAAAUCGAUUGGCACAAUCUGUGCAAGGAACACUCUAUUUCUAACUGCAACGUAGCUGAACUAUUAAUAAAGAUUCAACGCAUCACAAAA